GGACUCUCGGCAAUGGAUAUCUUGGCUCUUGCAUCGAUGAAGAGCGCAGCGAAAUGCGAUACGUGGUGUGAAUUGCAGAAUCCCGUGAACCAUCGAGUUUUUGAACGCAAGUUGCGCCCGAGGCCAAUUGGCUAAGGGCACGUCCGCCUGGGCGUCAAG
rnacentral:rRNA from 1 species